rnacentral:lncRNA from 1 species
AACAAAGUCCUGAGUACUAAUUCAAACAAAAUCGCGCUUACUUGUUUCUGAUUCUGUGAGUCUUAAGAAGAUUUUAGCAGCUCAUUUGUCUCGACGCCAAGAGGCCAGAAGCUCCAAAACAGGCAGCCAGUGCAAGUGUGUGAGAUCGAGGUGAUUGUAGGUAUGGAGAACUGUAAUGACCCGACCCACUAGCAACAAUAACUCGUUGGGCCCAAACAACCGGUCUAAAAUGCUUAAGUCUAGUUAUUAUUACUAGCAUGUAGGUUUUAUAUACACUGAUCGGAAUCAGUAUUCCAUCCGAUGUGGGAUUAUUGGGAUGUUAUAAGAACGAUAUUGAGGAUGAUAAGACCGGGCUUAAUAUGAUAGACAUGUGUAUAGAAAGAGAGCGUAGGAAUCAAUUAAAGUGAGAAAAUAGGAAAAGGUUUGGGACAAACGGC